CUACGGGCUGCAGCAGUGGGGAAUAUUGCACAAUGGAGGAAACUCUGAUGCAGCAACGCCGCGUGGAGGAUGACACUUUUCGGAGCGUAAACUCCUUUUAUAUAGGAAGAUAAUGACGGUACUAUAUGAAUAAGCACCGGCUAACUCCGUGCCAGCAGCCGCGGUAAUACGGAGGGUGCAAGCGUUACUCGGAAUCACUGGGCGUAAAGAGCGUGUAGGCGGAUAGAUAAGUCAGGAGUGAAAUCCUAUGGCUCAACCAUAGAACUGCUCUUGAAACUGUCUAUCUAGAAUAUGGGAGAGGUAGAUGGAAUUUCUGGUGUAGGGGUAAAAUCCGUAGAGAUCAGAAGGAAUACCGAUUGCGAAGGCGAUCUACUGGAACAUUAUUGACGCUGAGACGCGAAAGCGUGGGGAGCAAACAGGAUUAGAUACCCCAGUAGUC
rnacentral:rRNA from 1 species